UAAAGUGGUUUCGAGCAUCCUUCGAUAUUAAUCUUCGUCAAUAGAUCCUUCUAAUUUAAUAUCAAUUGCAGUGUCGAUCAGAAGAAAAUAAUUUCUCGACAGAACAGCUUUUUCAUAGAGAACUUGUAUAACUAUAAGAUCGAGGAAAAAGGAUAUCUCUUCUAUAUUUUCUGCUUUUUUUUUUUUUUUUAGGUCUCAUUAUCGACCUCAAAAUCGACUGACAUCUCUCGUUUAACGACAUUCUCAGAAGGUAUUGGUGUUCAGUGUCGAGUGCAUGCUCGAAACUCACGUGUAAUGGAACCUAAUGCAAAUACAUUCUGCGACUUCAUUAAUGACGGGGACGCGGUGUGUCACGUGGGGCCAUUACACCGUGAACAUACGGCUCUGCUGUAUGUAUACACGUUACUAAAGUUAUCUAAGUUGUACCACUGUGUCAAGUCCUUCGGAGUUGGACGUGUGUCUAUUCAUUAGCGAUAUAAUGCAUCGAAUUAUCCAUACACGAGAGGCUAUAUAUAUUUGAGAGGCCAUAUACGUGUUGGAGAAAAAAAGGAGUAUUUGGUUCGAAAUUUAAAAAUUUUUUGGAGAGAUUGAUAUAUCGAAAAUGUAAUACGAUCACGUAUGUAUGUAUGUGUUUCGUUUAAAUUGAUAAGAUAAAUGGUGCAUUGGUGAAAUCGUGUAUGAAAAUUUCGUCAGAGUAUCCCUCGCACGUGGAGCAUUAUGUGGGGUUUAACUCUUUCGACCUUGAAAAUUGAAUUGAAUAGAUAAGAGCCGGAUCAAAAGGAUAGAGAGCGUGCAAGAAUAUGGAAAUUAGAUAUGAACGGUAUUCAACUGCAGAUAUUACAGAAUCGAGAGAGAAUACAAUAGAAUGGCAAACAAUUUGAAAAAUUCUACAAUCCAUCUUCGCGAGAACGGAGCGGCAACAAUGGGGGGACAAGAUUUCCAAAAUGUCAGACCGGUUGGAUUAACUCGGUUGUUCAAAAACACGACUGGCGUCCCACUUUCCAGCCCACAGCCCAUCGUCGCGCCGAUCAAAUAUUCACCUCCUCCUGUUUAAAUAAUCUUAAAACGGCGUCGAGAUGUCCAUUCGUUCCGAAUAUUUUAUAUAUAUAUAUAUAUAUAAUAGAUCGAAAAUGCAAGAAGGGAUACGGUUAAAUUUUGUUGAAUGGAAGCGGAUGGUCUCGUGAAAGCGCCACGCUCGAGGCUGGGCCGUGCUAUGAAUUUCAAGUUUCGCUCGUUUCGACCGAUCAGCUUUAUUUAUUUUAUUUUAUUCUUUUUAAGGAAGCAGAAACGAUGAUAUCUGAAUCUCGCCACGGCGGAUUUCCUGACUGUUACGAAAGUGUACUGGAAAAAAAAAAAAGAAAAAAAAGUGUAAUCUGUGCAAUGGGAUCUGGACAACGAAAAGGAAAUAUGAUCGAAUAACGGGCAAAGGCUUGGUUUCUCGUAUCUUUGACCGCGUUAUUUUUCCCUUAAUUUUGUAUUUUAUAUAUAAAGUAAUGGUAAUGGAACGAUGAUCGACGAUUGAAUCGAAAUGAUGAUUUACGAAAUGUAUUAAUUUUUCCCUUUUUCAAUUUAUAUUUUACAGUUUGGGAAAAAAUUGUUGAGAGGAAUAUUUAUUUCAUUUAUUUUAUUGGAAAUUGUUUAUCGAUAAUGAAAAGAGUGAGGCGAUAAGAGAAAGUGUGAUGACCGGUGUAAUUAUCAGAUCGUAAAAAAAUGUUGUUAAUCGAGUUAUUAAUUAAUUAAUAAAGAUCGAUUCAAGAGAUAAUAAAUUGGAAUAAGUUCUCAAGUAAGUUUUGAACUCGAUAUAUUCCCAGAAUUGAAAUUGUAUUUCGAUUAAUUUUAUUCGUAUAACGAGAAGAUAAAAAGUUUUGAAGGAAAUGUAUGUUCUAAAGUAAAAUUAAUUUUUUAUUUUUUCAAAUCUAUCUAUACAUGUUUAUUCACAAAAAUAUUUUUCUUAACCAAGUAGAUGAACCAGGUAAGUAAUAUAGCACGAUGUGCUUAUAUUUUUACAUAAGAGACUAUCUAA